AGGACCGAAUGAAAGAGUAAGCUUUAUACAGCCGACCUAAAAAAAUUGGUUAAAAACUUUGGUGCGGCUUAUUGUUGUUAAUAAAAGUUCCACUGGGAAGGAGGAAGAACGAGCAGCAAAACGGAAGUACUGGACUAAAAUGAAAAAAUCCAAGUGGAGGGCCAUCGCUCGUCCAAGUACUUCCACGUCCUCCGCCUCCUGUUCCUAAAUUCUCUUUUGGCUAUUACUUACACUGUGACAUCGCCUGAACUUGCUUUUAUGGGAGACGCUGAGUCAGAUGUCAUUGUUGAUCCAUACAAUAGUGACACUUUAAAAACAAAAAUUCUUGUCAUGGAGGGAUAUGUUAGAAGAAUCACGAUGCCAACCACUUGACAUUGUUCGGGAAAAAAAUUUGAUGAAUUAACAGUUGAUAUGUGCUGGUGUAUGUAUGAUCUUUACGAUAAUUAGAUUUAUUUAUUGCUUCAGUUGAAGAGUUAUAUCUUGUUUAAAGAUGAUCUCCAAAUCAACUGU